rnacentral:ncRNA from 1 species
AAAUAAAAAAAGAGACAAUGAAUACAAUGUUGACAAAUACAUAUUGGUGGUGGCACCCGUUACAACUCAGGCAGUCGUAAGGGAGCAGUGCUCGUGUGUAUAUAUACAUAUAUAAUAAAAAACAAAAAGAGCCCUGUC